rnacentral:misc_RNA from 1 species
GUGAAUCAUCAAAUUUUUGAACGCAAAUUGCACUCUCCGGUUUUCCGGAAAAGUAUGCCUGUUGAGGGUUAGGCCUAAUAAAAAUCGACAUGGUUGCCGCUUUUUGUUGACUUUCACCGGAGGUGGGUUAUCUUAAAUCCUUUUGAUUUACGCGACUUAAAAUAUGCUUUUGUUUCACUUAACUAUU